GCCCGGUAGCGUAGCGGUAACGCAGGGGCUUCAUGGCUCCCUAUAGCCCUGUUCAAGUCAGGGACUGGGUA